rnacentral:lncRNA from 1 species
ACACUGGGGUCAGGAGUGGAGAUACUUAGGCUCCCCAGAGAAAUUAGUCACAAGUCUUAUCCCUUCAUCUCCAUUUACAGCCAUUUAUUUGGGAGCAACAUACUUUAAAUGAGUGAUAAACAAAAUGUCUCCCCACAGCCCCCACCCCAGCAUGUGUUCUGAAGUUCACAGGAAGGCUUCUCCUCAUUUGCUUUGGGGCCCGCAGGCUGCCUGCUAACAGCUGGGUCUUCCCAUGAACAAAUUAGACAGUUAAUGUUCCAGGAUGAAGAGGGCUUCGGGGAACAGAAUCUGCCGUUUAUUUGACUUGCUUCAUUAGACACAGUGCCAUCAUACCAAAAUUAGAAAAAAGAAGGAACUCAGCGGAAAUCAGCUACACAAGAAGAACCUCUCAGUUCUGAGAAUUCACAUUAACCAGUGAUUAAGAAAUAUUAAAAAGGGCUGAUAGUCCACUACGUUAUCAAGUUCAAAGCCUAAGAAAUAUUGAACAUUUCCACACAUGAAUGUGGGUACUAUGUUUAAUUUGAGAAUGGCCAACUGUCCUCGAAGUCUCAAUCUCUUUGGAGCCUACCAGCUCCGAGAGAAGUUUGAGGAUGCUGCAAAACCCUCCCCUGCAAAUCCAUCUACUCCUCCCACUUCUAUCCUAAUGGGUAUAGUUCUUGGCUGUGCUGAGGAUCUGUAAGGCACCAGAUGUGAAAGUAAGGAAGAAAGAUGGAUGUGGAAGAAAGUCACUGCCCAGAGAAUAAGGAGACCUGGAUUCUAAUCUCAGCUCUGCCAUUAACUAGCUGUGAGACUCAAGAAUAACUAAUCAUUUUGAUAACUCGUUUUUUUACUUUUUAAAAUGAGGAGCCAAGUUUAGACAAUGAGCUCGGCUCUUCACCAGUGAUAAAGUGUCUGGGACAUGCUUCCAUUCAAGCAAUGCUCUUCCUUCUUGGUAAGACAGUGAGAUCCCCAUGAUGGAGCCAGUGUAGUAUUGCCCAGUAGGCAGGGAGAUGAAGAGCCCUGGAAUCCCCUUUAAUCAAUGGCCCUUAGCUCAGAGACCAUUUCUGCACCAGGCUGGAGGGAAGAAGCCCUUCUCUCAGGUUCUUGCCGAGGCCUGCUAUUUAAAACAGAUGGCACACACGGGCAGUCCAUUCCCACACCCCUUCCACUCUCUAAGCACUUUGAAUAUAUUAAAACCUUUUCUUACCUCUCAGUUCCAA